CUACGGGGCGCAGCAGUGGGGAAUAUUGCACAAUGGGCGCAAGCCUGAUGCAGCCAUGCCGCGUGUAUGAAGAAGGCCUUCGGGUUGUAAAGUACUUUCAGCGGGGAGGACGGGAGUAAAGUUAAUACCUUUGCUCAUUGACGUUACCCGCAGAAGAAGCACCGGCUAACUCCGUGCCAGCAGCCGCGGUAAUACGGAGGGUGCAAGCGUUAAUCGGAAUUACUGGGCGUAAAGCGCACGCAGGCGGUUUGUUAAGUCAGGUGUGAAAUCCCCGGGCUCAACCUGGGAACUGCAUCUGAUACUGGCAAGCUUGAGUCUAGUAGAGGGGGGUAGAAUUCCAGGUGUAGCGGUGAAAUGCGUAGAGGUCUGGAGGAAUACCGGUGGCGAAGGGGGCCCCCUGGACGAAGACUGACGCUCAGGUGCGAAAGCGUGGGGAGCAAACAGGAUUAGAUACCCCCGUAGUC
rnacentral:rRNA from 1 species